CUGGACGAGAGGGUCUCCGAUGAUGACCUCGACCCAUCCUUUACUGUCUCAACCAGCAAAGCCUCGGGCCCCCACGGCGCCUUCAAUGGGAACUGUGAAGCAAAACUCUCCGUGGUCCCUAAAGUGUCGGGCCUGGAGCGGAGCCAAGAACAGCCCCCGGGGCCCGACCCGCUGCUAGUGCCUUUCCCCCCAAAGGAACCACCGCCUCCACCGGUCCCUCGGCCUCCUGUCUCACCCCCUGCACCCCUGCCGGCCACUCCCAGUCUGCCACCCCCACCCCAGCCCCAGCUGCAGCUUCGGGUCUCACCCUUCGGCCUGCGCACUUCUCCAUAUGGCAGCAGCCUGGACCUCAGCACUGGCAGGGGAAUCCAGGCUGUGCUGUUUCCCAGUUGUGUUUGCUGGUGAGAACGUUUUUUCAGGCAGCUCUUCACGGCCGCCCCCCAAGGCCCCGGCCCCUCCCGUGGCUCAGCCUCCCCCCUCAUCAUCCUCUUCGUCCUCCUCCUCCUCAUCUGCCUCCUCCUCGUCCGCGCAGCUCACCCACCGGCCCCCGACGCCCUCACUGCCCCUGCCUUUGUCCACCCACAGCUUUCCCCCUCCCGGGCUGCGGCCCCCCCACCACCCCACCACCCCUCCUUGUUCUCCCCUGGCCCCACCCUGCCCCCACCCCCACCCCUGCUGCAGGUGCCAGGGCACCCUGGGGCCUCAGCCGCUAACGCCCUUUCUG
rnacentral:sRNA from 1 species